rnacentral:rRNA from 1 species
UAAACUAGGAUUAGAUACCCUAUUAUUAAAAAUGUAAUGAAAAUAACUUGAUCACUAUUAGAAAUGAUCUUUAAAUUCAAAGAAUUUGGCGGUAAUUUAUCUUAUCAGAGGAACCUGUUCUAUAAUUGAUAAUCCACGAUAGAAAAAACUUUAAUUCAAUUUGUAUAUCUCUGUCAAGAAUGUUUUAUAAGAAAUAUUUUCAAAUAUUUUAUAUAUUAUAUGUCAGGUCAAGGUGCAGUUUAUAAAAAAGAAAGAAUGGGUUACAAUUAAAUUUAUAAUAAAUUAUUUUUUGAUUGAAAAAUAUGAAAUUGGAUUUGACAAUAAAUCAAUUAAAUUAAAUUGGUUGAAAUUAGCUCUAAAUUAUGUACAUAUCGCCCG